AGCAGCGACUGCAGGUCUCUCCUUGCAGCCGCGGUGCGACAGCGGAGCAUAGGUGGCCGUGGUCGGAGUCAUGGCAGGACAGGCCUUUAGGAAGUUCCUUCCCCGCUUUGACCAAGUAUUAGCUGAAAGCAGUGCUGCAGAAACUGUAACCAAAGGAGGCAUGAUGCUUCCAGAAAAACCUCAAGGAAAAGUAUUGCAAGCCAUAGUGGUCCCUAUUGGAUCGGGCUCCAAAGGAAAGGGUGGAGAGAUUCAACCUGUUAGCGUGACAGUUGGAGAUAAAGGUCUCCUUCCAGAAUAUGGAGGCACCGAAGUAGUUCUAGACGACAAGGAUUGUUUCUUAUUUAGAGGUGGUGACAUUCCUGGAAAGUAUGUACCAGUAGACUGAAAUAAAUCACUAUUGAAAUGGCAUCAUGUGAAGCUGCCCAUUCCAUUGAAGUUCUGAAAUCUUUCGUCAUGUAAAUAAUUUCC